CCCAGGUAGUGACCAUCUCUGAAGUGGAAGGUGUGUGUGUCAGGGUGUGUGAGCGUCUCUGAAGUGAAAGGUGUGUGUGUCAGGUGUGUGAAAGCCCAGGUAGUGACCAUCUCUGAAGUGGAAGAGGGAUAUCAAUAAUUGAAUCCAGACAGACUUCCUCUGUCUCAUUUCAUUUUCCCUUCUCUUUCUUUCUCUCGCUCUCUUGUUCCCCACUUCUCUGUCUCCCUCUAUCUUUAUCUCUCUCGCUCCCUUUCUCUCUCACAAUCUCUUUCUCUCUGUCCUCUCUCUCUCUCUCCCUUUCUCUCUCACACUCUCUUUCUUUCUGUCCUCUCUCUCUCUCCCUUUCUCUCUCACACUCUCUUUCUUUCC
ensembl:lncRNA